ACAGCUACAGGAGUAGUUCUACAACCACAGCUACAGGAGUAGUUCUACAACCACAGCUACAGGAGUAGUUCUACAACCACAGCUACAGGAGUAGCUACCAGGAGGAGUUAAACUGAUGGAAAAAUCAAGACGACCUGGAAAAUGUUUUUUGACCUUGCUCUGUAAUACAAUAAUUUCAGACUAGUGUCAUGCAUUUUCAUGAUCAUAAAAUGAUCCGGUCUUAAAGCAAAAAUUAUCAAGAUUUGAUCUCAACCUACCAUCAGAGGUGAGAUUCAAACAA